UGUAUUUUGAAACACGAUGUUC
rnacentral:siRNA from 1 species